rnacentral:rRNA from 1 species
UACGUAGGGGGCGAGCGUUGUCCGGAUUUAUUGGGCGUAAAGAGCUCGUAGGCGGCUUGGCAGGUCGGGUGUGAAACCUCCAGGCUCAACCUGGAGACGCCACCCGAUACUGCCAUGGCUAGAGUCCGGUAGGGGACCACGGAAUUCCUGGUGUAGCGGUGAAAUGCGCAGAUAUCAGGAGGAACACCGGUGGCGAAGGCGGUGGUCUGGGCCGGAACUGACGCUGAGGAGCGAAAGCGUGGGGAGCGAACAGG